UACGAAGGGGGCUAGCGUUGCUCGGAAUCACUGGGCGUAAAGCGCACGUAGGCGGCUUCUUAAGUCAGGGGUGAAAUCCUGGAGCUCAACUCCAGAACUGCCUUUGAUACUGAGGAGCUUGAGUCCGGGAGAGGUGAGUGGAACUGCGAGUGUAGAGGUGAAAUUCGUAGAUAUUCGCAAGAACACCAGUGGCGAAGGCGGCUCACUGGCCCGGUACUGACGCUGAGGUGCGAAAAGCGUGGGGAG
rnacentral:rRNA from 1 species